rnacentral:rRNA from 1 species
GUCCACAGCCCUACCACCCUGACCACGCCUGAUCUUGACUGACCUCAGAAACUAAGCCAGUCGGGUUAGUACUUGGAUGGGAGGCAGCUGUGUAGU